CCUACGGGAGGCAGCAGUGAGGAAUAUUGGUCAAUGGCCGGAAGGCUGAACCAGCCAAGCCGCGUGAAGGACGAAGGUGCCAAGCAUUGUAAACUUCUUUUGUCAAGGGACAAAAUCAGGCUCGAGAGCCUGACCGAGGGUACCUGAAGAAGAAGCCCCGGCUAACUACGUGCCAGCAGCCGCGGUAAUACGUAGGGGGCAAGCGUUAUCCGGAUUUACUGGGUGUAAAGGGGGCGCAGACGGCGAUGCAAGCCAGGAGUGAAAGCCCGGGGCCCAACCCCGGGACUGCUCUUGGAACUGCGUGGCUGGAGUGCAGGAGGGGCAGGCGGAAUUCCUGGUGUAGCGGUGAAAUGCGUAGAUAUUAGGAGGAACACCAGUGGCGAAGGCGGCCUGCUGGGCUUUUACUGACGCUGAGGCUCGAAAGUGUGGGGAGCAAACAGGAUUAGAUACCCCAGUAGUC
rnacentral:rRNA from 1 species